UACGUAGGGGGCAAGCGUUAUCCGGAUUUACUGGGUGUAAAGGGAGCGUAGACGGUGAGACAAGUCUGAAGUGAAAGCCCGGGGCUCAACCCCGGGACUGCUUUGGAAACUGCCUGACUGGAGUGCUGGAGAGGCAAGCGGAAUUCCUAGUGUAGCGGUGAAAUGCGUAGAUAUUAGGAAGAACACCAGUGGCGAAGGCGGCUUGCUGGACAGUAACUGACGUUGAGGCUCGAAAGCGUGGGGAGCAAACA
rnacentral:rRNA from 1 species